UACAGAGGUCCCGAGCGUUGUUCGGAUUCAUUGGGCGUAAAGGGUGCGUAGGUGGCGCCGUAAGUGGGGUGUGAAAUCCCGGGGCUUAACCCCGGGACUGCAUUCCAUACUGCGGUGCUUGAGGACUGGAGAGGAGACUGGAAUUUACGGUGUAGCAGUGAAAUGCGUAGAGAUCGUAAGGAAGACCAGUGGCGAAGGCGGGUCUCUGGACAGUUCCUGACACUGAGGCACGAAGGCCAGGGGAGCAAACAGG
rnacentral:rRNA from 1 species